rnacentral:rRNA from 1 species
CUUAUGCGUUGUUGGGUAGGGGAGCGUUCUGUAAGCCUGUGAAGGUGUGCUGUGAGGCAUGCUGGAGGUAUCAGAAGUGCGAAUGCUGACAUAAGUAACGAUAAAGCGGGUGAAAAGCCCGCUCGCCGGAAGACCAAGGGUUCCUGUCCAACGUUAAUCGGGGCAGGGUGAGUCGACCCCUAAGGCGAGGCCGAAAGGCGUAGUCGAUGGGAAACAGGUUAAUAUUCCUGUACUUGGUGUUACUGCGAAGGGGGGACGGAGAAGGCUAUGUUGGCCGGGCGACGGUUGUCCCGGUUUAAGCGUGUAGGCUGGUUUUCCAGGCAAAUCCGGAAAACCAAGGCUGAGGCGUGAUGACGAGGCACUACGGUGCUGAAGCGACAAAUGCCCUGCUUCCAGGAAAAGCCUCUAAGCAUCAGGUAACAUCAAAUCGUACCCCAAACCGACACAGGUGGUCAGGUAGAGAAUACCAAGGCGCUUGAGAGAACUCGGGUGAAGGAACUAGGCAAAAUGGUGCCGUAACUUCGGGAGAAGGCACGC